UGGUUCUCAUGUUUACCUGCAGCAGGUAGAGAGCAGUAAUCAGAAGCUCAGGCUCCAUUUAGUCUCAGAAGAACAAGUGGAUUAAAACAUGUCUGUGUCAGAAUUAAAGGCUGACUGAAGUCCAGAAGAUGGAGAACAAAGCAGAACCUCCAGGAUCCAGCUGUCCGUCUAUGAGGAGUGACCGGUCCAGAGAAAAACCUCCAGAACUGAAUGAACCUGGACCCUCAGAAGGUCAGAACCACAGACAGAGAGCACAACCUCCAGGAUCCAGCUGUCCAUCUAUGAGGAGUGAGCGGUCCAAAGAUAACUCCCCAUACUUCAGUGAAGAACCUGGACCCUCAGACUCAGAACCAGGACCUGGACUGCUGGCAGCCAAUCAGAG